UACGUAGGUGGCAAGCGUUGUCCGGAAUUAUUGGGCGUAAAGCGCGCGCAGGUGGUUUCUUAAGUCUGAUGUGAAAGCCCACGGCUCAACCGUGGAGGGUCAUUGGAAACUGGGGAACUUGAGUGCAGGAGAGAAGAGUGGAAUUCCACGUAGUAGCGGUGGAAAUGCGUAGAGAUGUGGAGGAACACCAGUAGGCGAAGGCGGCGACCUGGACAGGUACUGACACUCAACGUACGAA
rnacentral:rRNA from 1 species